CUGGGAGGCCUACAGCUCCACCAGGGAGGAAGAGGAGGAGGACACCAAAGAGGAGGUAGAGGUAGUUGCAUCAAAUUGGGUGACAGGCAGAUCCAAAGGUUAUCAUGAAGUUUCCAGUCCCUUUGGAAAACCACAGAUUGUCUUUUUUAUUGGAAAAGUCAAUCUCUAGGGAAGCCCAGAUCUGGAAGGUGAAUGUGCCGAAAAUGCCUACAAAUCAGAGUGUUUCUCCAUCCCAGAUAGAUGAAGUAAUUCAUUGUCUAGCCAAACUCAAGUACCAAUUCAACCUAUACCCAGAAACAUUUGCUUUGGCUAGCAGUCUUUUGGACAGGUUUUUAGCUACUGUAAAGGCCCACCCAAAAUACUUGAGUUGUAUUGCAAUUAGUUGCUUUUUCCUGGCUGCCAGGACUGUUGAAGAGGAUGAGAAAAUUCCGGUACUAAAGGUAUCGGCAAGAGGAAGUUUCUGUGGGUGUUCCUCUUCUGAGAUUUUGAGAAUGGAGAGAAUUAUUCCAGAUAAAUUGAAUUGGAAUCUUCACACAGCCACACCAAUGGAUUUUCUUCACAUUUUCCAUGCCAUUGCAGUGUCAACUAGACCUCAGUUACUUUUCAGUUUGCCCACGUUGAGCCCAUCUCAGCAUUUGGCCAGCCUCAUCAAACAGCUGCUUCACUGUAUGGCCUGCAGCCAACUUCUGCAGUUUAAAGGAUCCAUGCUUGCCCUGGCCAUGGUUAGCUUGGAAAUGGAGAAGCUCAUUCCUGAUUGGCUUCCUCUUACAAUUGAACUCCUUCAGAAAGCACAGAUGGAGAGCUCCCAGUUGAUCCACUGUUGAGAGCAGGUGGCACAUCACCUUUCUACUCCACAGUCUUCCCUGCCUCUAAAUUCCGUGUAUGCCUACCAUUCCCUCAAGCACACCCUGGUAACCUGUGACAAAGAAGUGUUCAGAUUACAUCCCUCCUCUGUCUCAGGCCCAGAUAUCUCCAAGGACAACAGCAAGCCAGAAGUGCCAGUCAGAGGUACAGCAGCCUUCUACCAUUCUCUCCCAACUGCUGGUGGGUGCAAGCACGCCUCUGCUGAACGCAAAGUGGAGGAAAUGGAAGCAGAUGACUUCUAUGAUGGGAUUAAACGACUCUAUAAUGAAGACAGUGCUGCAGAAAGUGUAGGUUCUGUGUUUGGCACUGAUUUAUCAAGGCAAGAGGGAUAUGCUUCCCCUUGUCACCUUUGCAGCCUGUUAUUGUUAUGUAGUUUCAACAUGUGUUACCUUCCAGUGCAAACAAAGAUUGCCUACUUUGGGAACAACCUGUAAAACUAGGAGAGGCUAUGGAGGAAUGUGUACUUUAUCAGGCUGAUUUGAAGUGAGCCAGAAAAAAACACACCCUCAUUUACUUACACAAUUAAUUAUAAUUUAGCAUUGUUUGAAAGCAAAAAAUAUUUACCAAAAUAUUUUUUGAAAGUAAAUUUUUUGUAGUAUGUCAAUUUAUGCUCUUUUGUGCUAAAAUGUAGUUUGUUCCAUUUCAAAAAUUGUUUGAAAAAUUCCAAAAUUAACAGCUGUAAGCCCUUUCCCCCAGCCUUGUGAUUUUUCUUUUUCUUUUGGUUUUUUAUGGAAUGCUUAAUGAAUUUUAUGCUCAUUGACCUAUGUUUUCUACCUUCCACUGGAUAGGUACUUCCCUCAUCCCCCCCAUAGCAAAAUUAGUGUGACAGCCAUGUUUAUUCCAUGAUUUAGAUUCCAUUUAGUCUGGAAAAUAUACUUUGGAAUUGUCCAGAUGAAUCAGAAGUGGUAAGAGAAAAAGUUCUCACAUUAUCACUUGAUUUUGUGUUUGUCUCAUUUUAGGUUUUAGAGUUUAAAAACAAAACAACCAUAUUUUAUCUUAAACUUUAAAAUAGCAUAUAACUAGAACACUUAUGAUUUCUUAAAAGCAUUUUUGACAUUUGUAUAAAGGGAUUUGUGACAAAAUUAAUAUAUCCAAGUGCUCACCAAAGAAAUGUAACAGAAUUAGAUUUUUGUAACUGAUCUGUUUCCACUCAUUUAUAAUCAGUAGGAGACUGUCUAGAUGUUGGGGCAGCUCUGUGAUUUGCAUAACAUGUAAUUCAGUACCCUCCUUUCUGUUAGGAUGUUAAGAUUUUUCUGAUAAAGAUUAUGCCCCAUCUCCCAACCUACCCAUGCUUCUCGUAAUGACUAUUGGAUCUUGGGCUCCCUUUGUAGUCUGAGGAAGGUAUUGUAGUCAGAGCCAUGCACUGAUGAUAAAAGCCUCUGGUAGCAAUAAAAAGUUGUCCUAA